AUUGAACGCUGGCGGCAGGCCUAACACAUGCAAGUCGAGCGAGCGGCGGACGGGUGAGUAAUGUCUGGGAAACUGCCUGAUGGAGGGGGAUAACUACUGGAACAGGUAGCUAAUACCGCAUACCAUCAGAUGUGCCCAGUUGGGAUUAGCUAGUCGGUGGGGUGACGGAUCACAUAGGCGACGAUCCAGAGCUGGUCUGAGCGGAUGACCAGCCACACUGGAACUGAGACACGGCCCAGACUCCUACGGGAGGCAGCAGUGGGGAAUAGUGCACAAUGGGCGCAAGCCUGAUGCAGCCAUGCCGCGUGUGUGAAGAAGGCCUUCGGGUUGUAAAGCACUUUCAGCUGUGAGGCGUUACCCGCAGAAGAAGCACCGGCUAACUCCGUGCCAGCAGCCGCGGUAAUAC
rnacentral:rRNA from 1 species